rnacentral:rRNA from 1 species
CGCUGAUGGCGGACUGAUCAGCCAUGCCGCGUGCAGGAUGACGGCCCUAUGGGUUGUAAACUGCUUUUAUACGGGAAGAAACGCGCCCACGUGUGGGCGUUUGACGGUACCGUAAGAAUAAGGACCGGCUAACUCCGUGCCAGCAGCCGCGGUAAUACGGAGGGUCCGAGCGUUAUCCGGAAUCAUUGGGUUUAAAGGGUCCGUAGGCGGGCCUGUAAGUCAGGGGUGAAAGUUUGUGGCUCAACCAUAAAAUUGCCUUUGAUACUGCAGGUCUUGAGUCAUGGUGGGGUUGCCGGAACAUGUGGUGUAGCGGUGAAAUGCAUAGAUAUCACAUAGAACACCGAUCGCGAAGGCAGGUGACCAACCAUGUACUGACGCUGAUGGACGAAAGCGUGGGUAGCGAACGGGAUUAGAUACCCCCGGUAGUCAA